CUGUAGGUAGACACUCUCUUUGCCGUUUUCCGAUUGCCACCAUUUUUUUUCAUUAUCUGUAAACAAUAUCUCCAUGUAUUUGGGUAAAUGUGAGUACGUAUCACCUGAGGUGAGACGAGAAUCGCACCAAUAACAAUUGCCUCCCCCUUGGAGGUUAGAAAUGACACAGAAGCGCUCGGCACGGCCAUUGGUACCACACGUAGAGCUCGCGUAUAAUGUAUUUCCUCGUCCUACCAGAAGAUCUCCCGUGGAAGGAUAGCAAGCACUGCCGAUACAGUUAUCUUCGUCUUCUUUAGGAUUGCCUUGACUUGAUAUUAAAUCUG